AGGGUUCGAUCCUGGCUCAGGAUGAACGCUGGCGGCGUGCUUAACACAUGCAAGUCGAACGAAGCAGCUUUAAAGAGACCUUCGGGUGGAAUUAAAGGUGACUGAGUGGCGGACGGGUGAGUAACGCGUGGGUAACCUGCCUCAUACAGGGGGAUAACAGUUAGAAAUGACUGCUAAUACCGCAUAAGCGCACAGGAUCGCAUGGUCUGGUGUGAAAAACUCCGGUGGUAUGAGAUGGACCCGCGUCUGAUUAGGUAGUUGGUGAGGUAACGGCUCACCAAGCCGACGAUCAGUAGCCGACCUGAGAGGGUGAUCGGCCACAUUGGGACUGAGACACGGCCCAA
rnacentral:rRNA from 1 species